rnacentral:rRNA from 1 species
UACGUAGGGGGCUAGCGUUGUCCGGAAUCAUUGGGCGUAAAGAGCGUGUAGGCGGCCCGGUAAGUCCGCUGUGAAAGUCGGGGGCUCAACCCUCGAAAGCCGGUGGAUACUGUCGGGCUAGAGUGCGGAAGAGGCGAGUGGAAUUCCUGGUGUAGCGGUGAAAUGCGCAGAUAUCAGGAGGAACACCAAUGGCGAAGGCAGCUCGCUGGGACGUGACUGACGCUGAGACGCGAAAGCGUGGGGAGCAAACAGG